rnacentral:lncRNA from 1 species
UCACAAGCCCAGUGAGGAGGAAUGUACAGAGGCACUCUGGCCACAGCUCCUUUGCCAUGCUAAGAACAUGAACCAAGACUUGGAGGAAGAAGAGCUGGAUUUUAUUCCUUAUUCUGCCAGUAACUACCUUCAUGAUGAUAUUAUGUAAUUACUAAUUCAGGUUAUUUUAUUCAUAUAUUAAGUGAAAAGAAUUUACCAUAUUAGCAUUUCCCAAAACGUCCAUAAAAUUUACCCACAUGGUUUAGUAGAUAUUGCUGGAAAUAUAAUAUCUAUGGUAAAAGAUCUUUGGACUGUGCCAAUAAAUUUACUUACUUUUGGAUUGUCAUAGCAGAGCCUUAAAAUUAAAACAAAAUUGUCUUUCCAACAAAGAGCUAUGAUAGUGUUUCCAAAACCU